rnacentral:misc_RNA from 1 species
AACAAGGCGUACCUGCGGACCUGCGGAAGGAUCAUUACCGAGUUUACAACUCCCAAACCCCUGUGAACAUACCAAUUGUUGCCUCGGCGGAUCAGCCCGCUCCCGGUAAAACGGGACGGCCCGCCAGAGGACCCCUAAACUCUGUUUCUAUAUGUAACUUCUGAGUAAAACCAUAAAUAAAUCAAAACUUUCAACAACGGAUCU